rnacentral:rRNA from 1 species
GGGGAAUAUUGCACAAUGGAGGAAACUCUGAUGCAGCAACGCCGCGUGAGUGAAGAAGGUUUUCGGAUUGUAAAGCUCUGUCAUCUGGGACGAUAAUGACGGUACCAGAUGAGGAAGCCACGGCUAACUACGUGCCAGCAGCCGCGGUAAUACGUAGGUGGCAAGCGUUGUCCGGAUUUACUGGGCGUAAAGGAUGUGUAGGCGGAUAUUUAAGUGAGAUGUGAAAUCCCCGGGCUUAACUUGGGGGCUGCAUUUCAAACUGGAUGUCUAGAGUGCAGGAGAGGAAAGCAGAAUUCCUAGUGUAGCGGUGAAAUGCGUAGAGAUUAGGAAGAAUACCAGUGGCGAAGGCGGCUUUCUGGACUGUAACUGACGCUGAGGCAGGAAAGCGUGGGGAGCAAAC